UUUUUGUCAGUCAACUGUCAUGACUGUACCAGCGGUCAAACUGUCAUCAGUCAUAUACAUCGCGAUAUGACCGCGUUGUUGGCUAGAAACACCGAAUUGAUCACAGUCGGCACUGCUGCUAUAAAUAAAGUCUUGACUCACGAGAUAACCAUUCCACCAGCACCAUUGAUGUAUAACAGAUCAUAUUAUCACUAUCUGACGUGACAUCAUUUCACCUCGGAGAUCUUCAAGAUUGAGAUCCAAAACCUCCCAAAGACAUUUUGGAUUUGCGCAACUGAAGAUGUUGACUGGUCUUCAACUGAAACCCGAGAAAGUCAAGGCAGUCAACAAGGCAACCUAUGCUUUUGUGACAUUCAGCUGCCAAGAAGAUAAGGAGGAGGCCUUGAAACUACUCAACGGACACACGAAAGGACAAGUGCUGAGAACCAAGCUCGCCAAGCCAGUUGAGGACCCGUACACUAAGAGCCUUGCUCUGAAGAGAAGUCAAGAGGAAACUGAUGGAAACACCCAAGAAGCUAAGAGGAGGAAGGAGGAGGACAGCUUACCAGUAGAAGAGAGGUUAAACAACACAGUGACUCCACCAUGGAACCAGCCGUAUGAGGACCAGCUAUCCACCAAACAGACCAACACCAGGGAGUUUUUGAGGAAUUUAUCCAAGAUGGUGCGACGGAAUAUUGGGGAGAUGUCUCCCUGGCUGAAGCAACAAAGCCAGUAUUAGAGAGUUAUCGCAACAAGUGUGAGUUUACCAUCGGCAAGAGUGUAGAUGGCAUCGAUAACACUGUUGGUUUCCGGCUUGGUGCUUACAAUGUCUCCGUCAACCGAUUUCAAAUCGAAUCAAGGGAAUCCCAUUCCGGCCGACCAAGGCAGUGGCCGUUGACCUCUUCCCACACACCAAACACUGUGAGCUGGUCAUACUGUUUGAGAGAGCUGACCGAGUUGAUCCCUACUACGAGGUACCAGUGGACAUGAAAAGAUCCAGCAAAACCGAUGGCGAAGUUUCAACAUCAGUCGUAUGUUGAUUUAUUUACAAAACUGUCACUGAUAACAAAGUUUUUUUGUCAAAGCUGGUAUGCAAUUAGUGCCCUGGCAGGGACAUGCAGUGCUUGGGGCAAGAUUUCUAUUUGAAAAAAAUGUCAAGCAACUUGCGGGUACUUUGGAGAGUUGGAUCCCAACGUUUUUGGUCCCAUAAUGACCACCGUACAACCCGUGUGUGGUCACCACCAAUGGGAAAACAAGGACGUGUAGUUGUGUACCCACAUUAGCAAGUGUACAGCACUGAUGCCGGAGGGUUGUGCUGUUACCUGCUCUGUAUAUUGCCAACUGGGGGCGCUGUUUCAACCGUCCAACAAAUUUGUGUGUGUAAGGGGGGGGGGGGGGGGUAUGGGCACUCAGUGGGAUUUUAACAAUGAAAAGCUUAUUUUUUGCAUUUCUGAGUGGGGUAUGGGCCACAGGCACAAGGGGGCAUGGCGUCGCGGGAGGGGGGGCCAAGGGGGGCACUUGCCCCCCCCCCCUGGAAA